rnacentral:rRNA from 1 species
GCAAGUCGAACGAUACCUUCGGGUAGAGUGGCGCACGGGAGAGUAACAAGUGGGAACCUACCUUUUGGUUCGGGAUAACGUCGGGAAACUGACGCUAAUACCGUAUACGCCCUACGGGGGAAAGAUUUAUCGCCAUUAGAUGGGCCCGCUCUGGAUUAGCUUGUUGGUAAGGUAAUGGCUUACCAAGGCUACGAUCUAUAGCUGGUCUGAGAGGAUGAUC